UUUCCGUAGGUGAACCUGCGGAAGGAUCAUUAGCUACUCAUGUGCAUUACGGGGUUCAUAGCUGGUAACACGGCUGGACACCAAACACAUUAGUGCUUCCAUGUACCGAAUGGGUACCUGGAGUGCAUACACGCUUUAUCGUAGUACAUAUUUAGUGCAAGUAUCAAAAUAUCUAAAACUUUUAACAAUGGAUCUCUUGGCUCCC
rnacentral:misc_RNA from 1 species